AAUAUGAUGUUUUACAUCUUUUCCUGUUGUUCAUAAGUUAAUCCCGUUUUUGAGCUUUAUCCGCUGAAAAGCAUAAGUAAUUAUUUAGAAUACAGGUUAAAGAUAUGUCUAACAUGAUCACCGGUACCGUUAAGUUUUUCAACGAAACCAAAGGUUUUGGCUUCAUCCAGCAAGAAAACGGCCCGGACGUUUUCGUUCACUUCAGCGCUAUCAGCGGUAACGGUUUCCGUACCCUGGCUGAAGGUCAGCGCGUACAGUUUUCUGUGACCCAAGGUCAGAAAGGCCCGCAGGCUGAGAACGUAACUGCUCUGUAAUUCUUACAGAAUUUAAGAAAGCCGUGGUGCCUCUGGUUCCACGGCUUUU
rnacentral:sRNA from 2 species